AUACGUAGGGUGCAAGCGUUAAUCGGAAUUACUGGGCGUAAAGCGUGCGCAGGCGGUUUUGUAAGGCAGUGGUGAAAUCCCCGGGCUCAACCUGGGAACUGCCAUUGUGACUGCAAGGCUGGAGUGCGGCAGAGGGGGAUGGAAUUCCGCGUGUAGCAGUGAAAUGCGUAGAUAUGCGGAGGAACACGGAUGACCAAGGCAAUCCCCCGGGCCUGUACUGACGCUCAUGCACGUAACCAUGUGGAGCAAUCAGGAUUAGAUCCCCUGGUAGUCCAGGCCCUAAACGAUGUCAACUGGUUGUUGGAGAUUUAUUUUCUCAGUCACGAAACUAACGCGUGAAGUUGUCCGCCUGGGGAGUACGGCCUCACGGUUAAAACUCAAAUGUCGGGACGGGG
rnacentral:rRNA from 1 species